AAACGGAGCGCAACACUGCAAAUGUCACGAGGAAACACCCCGUUUCUCGCUGAUUUCACUGUUUUCAGGAAUGGUUUAAUGUCUUCGAAAAAGUCCGUUAGCGUUUCUACCGUUUUCAGACGACGUAUCGUCAGAAGGGAGUGUCCAAGAUUUCAAUAUUUCUGAAGGGAGCUGCUGACAGAGAUGUAGGAAGCGCUGAAAAGGUUAAGUAACCUAAUAUGCAUUUUUUUCACAACAUAUAUCGCAAUUAAUCUGUUAUUUUAUUUAUUUAUUUUUUGCAUCUCACCUGCUCUAGCUUGUUUCCAUCUAAUAAACCUGGAACUGCAGACUAAAUAUUGUUGGCUCUGUGUCAAAUUGCUUGUUUUGUUCCUAGAUUCUUCAGUGCUGAUGGCCUGGAGUGAACCUACUGUAAGACAACAUCUCCAAGAUGCUAUUGACCACAAGACUAGUACAGUAAGUCAAACCUCAAAUAUACAGUACACUAGUGUUCAAAAGCUUGAAGUUGAUACAAUUUGUAAUAAUUAUCUUCUGCUCACCUCUGUAGUAAUUAUUUGAUUAAAAUAUGUAAAAAGAGUAAUAUUGUGAAAUAUUAUUACAAUUUAAAAUAGCUGUUUUCUAUGUGAAUACAUUAUAAACUAAUUUAUUCCUGUGAUGUGCAGCUGUAUUUUCAGCAUCAUUCCUCCAGUCUUCAGUGUCACAUGGAUCCCUCAGA